UGCUUUGCCAUAGCUCAGUGGUGGAACACCUGCUUUGCAUGCAGAAGGUCCCAGGCUCAAUCCCUGGCAUCUCAAGGCAG